rnacentral:rRNA from 1 species
GACGAACGCUGGCGGCGUGCUUAACACAUGCCAGUCGAACGGAAAGGCCCUGCUUUUGUGGGGUGCUCGAGUGGCGAACGGGUGAGUAACACGUGAGUAACCUGCCCUUGACUUUGGGAUAACUUCAGGAAGCUGGGGCUAAUACCGGAUAGGAGCUCCUGCUGCAUGGUGGGGGUUGGAAAGUUUCGGCGGUUGGGGAUGGACUCGCGGCUUAUCAGCUUGUUGGUGGGGUAGUGGCUUACCAAGGCUUUGACGGGUAGCCGGCCUGAGAGGGUGACCGGCCACAUUGGGACUGAGAGACGGCCCAGACUCCUACGGGAGGCAGCAGUGGGGAAUAUUGCACAAUGGGCGGAAGCCUGAUGCAGCAACGCCGCGUGCGGGAUGACGGCCUUCGGGUUGUAAACCGCUUUCGCCUGUGACGAAGCGUGAGUGACGGUAAUGGGUAAAGAAGCACCGGCUAACUACGUG